rnacentral:rRNA from 1 species
UACGAAGGGGGCGAGCGUUGUUCGGAAUUACUGGGCGUAAAGGGCGCGCAGGCGGCUCUGAAAGUCAGAUGUGAAAGCCCCGGGCUUAACCUGGGAAUUGCAUUUGAUACUCUGGAGCUUGAGUACGGGAGAGGAGAGUGGAAUUCCCAGUGUAGAGGUGAAAUUCGUAGAUAUUGGGAAGAACACCGGUGGCGAAGGCGGCUCUCUGGACCGUAACUGACGCUGAGGCGCGACAGCGUGGGGAGCAAACAGG